rnacentral:snRNA from 1 species
AAAGGCAGGGGAGACACCAUAAUCAGGCAGGUGGUUUUCCCAGGGCGAGGCUCAUCCCCUGCUCUCUGGGUGUGCUGACCCCUGUGAUUUCCCCAAAUGCGGGAAACUCGACUGCAUAAUUUGUGAUAGUGGGGGACUGCGUUCGCACUCCCCUA